rnacentral:rRNA from 1 species
GACGAACGCUGGCGGCGCGCCUAACACAUGCAAGUCGAACGAGCGAGAGAGAGCUUGCUUUCUCGAGCGAGUGGCGAACGGGUGAGUAACGCGUGAGGAACCUGCCUCAAAGAGGGGGACAACAGUUGGAAACGACUGCUAAUACCGCAUAAGCCCCCGGUGCCGCAUGGCACAGAGGGAAAAGGAGCAAUCCGCUUUGAGAUGGCCUCGCGUCCGAUUAGCUAGUUGGUGAGGUAAUGGCCCACCAAGGCGACGAUCGGUAGCCGGACUGAGAGGUUGAACGGCCACAUUGGGACUGAGACACGGCCCAGACUCCUACGGGAGGCAGCAGUGGGGAAUAUUGCACGAUGGAGGAAACCCUGAUGCAGCGACGCCGCGUGGAGGAAGAAGGUCGUCGGAUUGUAAACUCCUGUUGUUGGGGAAGAUAAUGACGGUACCCAACAAGGAAGUGACGGCUAACUACGUG